GACACUAUUUCUCAAACCCCAAAAAGCUUUUAACAAACAUUUCAUUUCAUUUUCUUCAAAAACAGAAAAGGGAGAGAAGAACUCUCUGCUAGGGUUCUUUUCUUAACCCAAACCCCAGCCACACCACUGCCAUGACGCUGCCCAAAGCACCACCCUUGACGGCAGUUUGAAGGGACCGAACCAAAGGUAAGCACCUCCAUUCUUUCUUUUCUUAUUUUUUUCUACUAUUAGAAGAUAUAAAAACAUGUAAACAAAAUCGAAAAAAAAAACUCUAAAAACGACGAAAAUCACCUUUCCAAAAAAAUGUUUUCUGAUUCUUUGUUCUUGUAUUUUUUCAAUCCAACAUUCCUUUCCCUCUUUUCCUUUUUUUAUUUGAUUUCCCCCUUUUUUAUAUUUUAAGAGAAAAAAUAAAAUAAAAAAACUAAAUAAUAAAUAAGUAAAUAAAAUCAAACACCCACAAAGUAAACUAAAAAAUAAUCACCUCCGUUUUCCAAAAAUUUUGAAUCUGUUUUCUUUUCUUUGUAUUCUCUUUCGUUCCAAAAAAAAAAAUCCUCUGUUACAAUGUUUGAGUCUGCUUUUUAUAGCAGACCAAUGAAAAAAAGAAAAAAAAAGGUAUGAAAUUUCUAUUGCAUCUUUGCUUGCUGAAUUUCCUCCGAGUUUCUCGUUAUUCUGCCGAUUCUAUCUUGUUGCCUUUCUUGUCGUGCAGGUGAAGGCGGCUCGUGCAAGGCGCUUGGUUGCAGUGCUGAAAACUCCCUUAGAAACCCUAGGAUUUCUUCAUUUGUUUUGGGUCACUUGUAUUUUGGGCCUUGUAUUCUGGGCUAGCUCGUUAAAAUACUGGACUUCUUUAUUUUAUUUUUAUUUAUAAAAGGGCCGGGAAAAAUUUAGGUAUUACAGCUGCCCCUUUUUACUCGUUUAUCGUGUAACGGGAAUGGAGCAAAGACUUUAAAAAUGCCAAAUUUUGCCCGGUCGUGCUGCCUUUUGAUACUCUUCUUCUUCAAGUAGCCUCUUUCGUUCCUGCUGCAUCUUCAGAGGUAUAGGAACUAGUGCUUCAAUCUACUCCACUGCAAUGUUAGGGAGAUAGGAUUUGUACGUUGUAGUUUCUCAAAAGAAUAAGAUUUGUUAUUUUUAAUCUACUCCACUACAACUUCAGGGAGAUAAGACUUAUAGCUUCAACUUGAUCUGCUGCAACUUAAAAAUGAAUUUGAUGCGAUCUGCUCUACUGUGAUUUCAGCGAGAUAAGAUCCGUGAUUUAAAUCUGCUCCACUGUAACUUCAAGGAGAUAUGAUUAUUGGCCUUAAUCUACUCCACUGUAACUUCAGGGAGGUAAGAUUCUCAAUCUUCAACCUAUUCCACUACUGACCAGGGAGAUAGGAUUCACAAUCUUCAACCUAUUCCACUGCUGACCAGAGAGAUAAGGCUGGGGACUUCGAUUUGCUCCACUACUACUUAGAGAGAUAAAAUCUGUAAUUUUUAACCUACUCCACUACUGAUCGGGGAGAUAGGAUUUACAAUAUUCAACCUAUUCCACUGCUGAUCAGGGAGAUAGGGCUGGGGUCAUCGAUCUGUUUUGCUGUCGGUGCAGGAAGGCAAGAUCUGCUAUUUUUAACCUGCUCCGCUGUAACCUAGGGAGGCAAGGAUGGUGUCUUCGAUCUGCUUCGCUGUCAGUGCAGGAAAGCAAGAUCUGUUAUUUUUAACCUGCUUCGCUGCAACCCAAGGAGGCAAGGCUAGUGUCUUCGAUCUGCUUCUCUCUCGGUGCAGGAAGGCAAAAUCUGCUAUCUUCAACCUACUCCACUACAACCCAGGGAGGCAAGGCUGAUAUCUUUGAUCUACUUCACUGUCGGUACAGGAAGGCAAGAUCUGCUAUCUUUAACCUGCUCCACUACAACCCAGGGAGGCAAGGCUGGUAUCUUCGAUCUGCUUUGCUAUCGAUGCAGGAAGGCAAGAUCUCCUAUCUUCAACCUGCUCUACUACGACCCAGUGAGGCAAGGUUGGUAUCUUCGGUUUGCUUCGCUGUCGAUGCAGUAAGGCAAAAAUCUGUUGUCUUCAACCUGCUCCACUACAAUCCAGGGAGGCAAGGCUGGUAUCUUCGAUCUGCUUCUCUGUUGAUGUAGAAAUGCAAGAUCUGCUAUCUUCAACCUGCUCCACUACGACCCAUGGAGGCAAGGUUGGUAUCUUCGGUUUGGUUUGCUGUCGAUGCAGUAAGGCAAAAUCUACUGUCUUCAACUUGCUCCACUACAACCCAAGGAGGCAAGGCUGGUAUCUUCGAUCUGCUUCGCUGUCGAUGCAGGAAGGCAAGAUCUGCUAUCUUCAACCUGCUCCACUACGACCCAAGGAGACAAGGCUGGUAUCUUCGAUCUGCUUCGCUGUCGAUGCAGGAAGGCAAGAUCUGCUAUCUUCAACCUGCUCCACUACGACCCAGGGAGACAAGGCUUUGUGAUUUCACCGAUCUGUUCUCUGAGGAACAUGACCUGUAUAAUGAACCUAAAUAUGUCUAAGAUUAGGAUGACAUGAUCGAAAUGCAUCAAAUGCUUCUAACUAGACAUGUGUGAAUGGUGUUUGCAUGAAUGUAGAAUGUUAAUUUUGAGAAUGAUCCCUUUUUCACUUAAGUUAUCAUUACUCGAAGUUUAUUAAGGCUUUAUCACUGACGUGCUACAAUGCCUUCUUGUUCUGCUGGCAUCUCCACUUAGUCAGAUUUCCCCCAUUAUAAACCUCAAAGUUCAAUCUACUAGGAUGUAAAAUUUGUACCAUCAUUCUCCCACUGCAACCCGAGGGUAGAAAUAUAUGACUUUUUCUCAAUCCACUCCUAUCACAAUUCAAGGAUACAAAAUGCGAAAUUCUUUGGUCCUUUGCACCAUGCCUAAGGUGUCGCACCAAAGGCUCAUGUGCAAAUGAAGUUUUUCUUCUCCGAGGAAACCUCUUCCUAUUGCCUGGUGAUCAUUACUUGCUUGUUCAUUUAAGCUUUGUCACCAACCUGACAUCUUGUCACUUUGCUCAAUCAAUGUUUUUUACAAUAGAAUCCAAAGAGAAAGUCCUAAUUUAGACUCUUCCUUCUUAAAUUUCCAACCUUUAAACUUGGUAUGUUCUAAAUAAUAGUCCUGUUUCAGGUUCCUGUAUUAUUUAGAAACUUCUAAAGUAAUAUGCAAAACUUCCUUUGUGAAAGUUUUAUUAGUCCAUCAAUCAUUAUUCCAAUGCAACAUGCUUGCAAAAAAGGUCAUAACAAUAGAUAAGAAUAAAGUUAGUUCUGAGCAUAGCUCGAAAGGAAUAAAUUAUCAAAAAUAGUAAAGAAGGAUAAGAAAUUGAUUGGGAAUGUGUAUUUUGGAAAAGAAUAAAGUAUUCCAAGAACAACAAAUUCAAUAGUAUGAAGAUUGGGUGCCCCAGAUAUCGCAGCUUGAACUUUUUUGUACAAACUUUCUGAAAAACCUUCUGAGUUUGACAUGUGUUUAGGAGAUCUACAGUGCUUUGUCGAUGCCCCAAGAUGUCGCCUACCCUUUCCUGUUGAUUCAAGUAUAGCAAGAUCAUCAUAUGCCCCAAUCUGAUCAAGAUUCGAGUUGUUCUAAUCACCCCAUGCCCCAUUUUGAUCAAUAUUUGAGCCGCCCUUUUCGGGUUUUCAACUCAAAUCCCCUUUGGUCUCAAGGUGUCCUUUGCAGAUUUUCACAUUGGCCUCUCUUUUUCUUUUCUUUUUUUGGCUUUUUCUUUUUUUUUUGAAAUAUUUGAAUCUGAACUCAGGAUUAGGCAUGUCCUUGUUAUCCCUUCUAAUCAAAAUCGACGCUUUUCCAGAUAAGGCCUUCCACAUAAGAUCCUUUCCAGCUUGGGAUGAAGUUCUUCUUGUAUGAGAAGGAUCUUCUUCAAUACCAGGUCCCUCAAAGAAUUCUAUAGGACAGACUUUUUUGUGAGCUCGUAUCAUUUGCUUUUGGCGUAUUUGAUCAUGAUGAAUAACUUUAAACAUUCCUCUUCAAUCGGAAUUAAUCCAAAAAAUCAGAGAGAAAGAAUCAUGUCUUCAAUAAGCAAUACCACAAUGGGCCCAGGAGAAAGGCAUUGCCCCGAUAGAUUUUUUUUUGUGCCAUCUUUUUUUUUGGCGAUAUGGAAUUAAUCGUGAACAGACUGUAAACUUUUGGUAUUGUGCUAUUGUUCAAAUUUAGUACAUUGUCAGAUAUGAUCCUUUUGGCAUUCCAUACUGACAUAUGAUUUUUCACGAAUUUGCUAAAUGUCGACUUUGUGACAUUGGCAUAUGAAGCAGCCUCCAUUUAUAAAGUAACUGACGACCACAAAGAUGAAUCAAUGACCGUCAGACUCUUUUGGCGAGAUCGACCAAAUGACCUUCAUGCCCCAUAUAAGGAGAAGUCAUAUAUCCCAAUGAUUCUUUGUAGGGUAAGAUCCGUUUCUCGACUUGUUCUACCAUCCUUAACAAGUCCGAAAAUAGGCUACAAUCUAUGUCAUCUUCAAAGUCAUGAAAUCCCUCUAAACACAUGCCUCGCUCAAAAGGAAAUUCUGAGCCUGUAGCAGCGUCACUCAUGUUAUUGAUAUCUAGGGCCCCGUAAUAAAUAUAAAAUAUUAUACAAAAGAAUGUAUCUAUGAAUAAUUAUUUGUACAAUAUAAUUAUGAAUGAAAGAAUGAUGUGGAAGAAAAUCCAAAAGAAUGAAAGAAUAAUUAUUUCAAAAAGAAUGAAAAAUAGUGGCUAAAAAAUGAAUGUAAAGAUGUAUUUUAUUAGAAAAAUGAUGUUCAGACAUGAACCUAUUUCACAAAGAAAUUUCUAUCAUUUUUAGGCUAAAAACAACAAAAAUGUUCUGAACAUUACUCUAAAUAAGCUCUAAAAACUACAGGGAUUUCUUCCGCAGUUCAAUUACUUUGAACACUCCCAAAUUUAUAAGGGCGGACAUCUAACAAGGUCCCGUUUCAAUUGUGUCUUUGUAUAUGAAAUUGAUGUGAACACUUCCUAACACCUUUUCAUAUAUUGCAUUCACCCCAUUAUCAAUCAUGAUUGGGUAGCAGAUUUUCUGCAUUAGAUGAGUCAUCCAACUUGACAAUACCCAUGUUGAUAAAUUUUUCAACUAGCUUUUUGAAGGUAAUGCAAUUCUCUAUUGAGUGCCUCGUAAUUCCCGCAUGGUAAUCACAUUGUGCGUUCGCAUCAUACCACUUGUGAUACGGAGGUUGUGGAGGUUUUAAGUAGGAAGGGGCAAAAACGUGUGCAUUGAAUGACCUUUGAUACAGCUCCUUAUACGACAUCAAUAUUGGUGUGAACUGGAGCUCCUCAGUACCUUGUUUCACUCCAAGUUCUUGUCUCAAUGAACCUUGUUGACUAGCAACCACCUUUCUUGGCUGAUUCACGUAAUCGACUUGCUGUACGUAUUUAUGUUGUUCACCUUAUUUUCUUUUGAGGCUUCCCUUCUGUUAUUUCCUUCAGCAUCAAUCUUUCCGCUUCUUAUGGCGCUUUCAAUCAUUUCACCAUUCAUGACUAUGUCAGAAAAGUUUUUUGUAGCACUUCCUAACAUAUGUGUGAUGAACGGGGCUUUCAAUGUAUUUAUAAAGAGCAUUGUCAUUUCUCUUUCCAAGAGCGGUGGCUGAACUUGGAUGGCGACCUCCCUCCACCUCUGUGCAUACUACCUAAUGCUCUCGUUCGGCUUCUUUUCCAUAUUCUGAAGGGUGAUUCUGUCAGGUACCAUGUUUGUUACAUGACUGUACUGUUUCAUGAAUGCUUGUGCUAAAUCCCUCCAUGAACCAAUCAUGCUACGACUCAGUUGAUUGUACCAUUUAGAUGCUGCCCCUGUGAGGCUAUCUUGGAAACAGUGUAUCAAUAGCUGGUCAUUGCUAACAUAUCCAGCCAUUCGCCUGCAGAACAUGGUGAUAUGAGCUUCUGGGCAAGUUGUCCCAUUGUACUUCUCAAAUUCUGGCAUCUUAAACUUGUGAGGGAAUACUAAAUCUGGAACUAAGCUCAGCUCUUUAGCGUCAAUCCCGCGAUAGCUUUUAGUGACUUCCAUCACAUUGAAUUUCUCCUCGAGCCAUUUGCACCUUUCCUUUAACUGCUUUGGUAACUUCUCCUUUAAUCUUUCCUUUUCAGCCACUUCAUUGAAAUCAGGAAUGGCGAAGUUAGUAGGGUUGUUUCCGGGGUUAGAGCCCAAUCCAGCUUGAAAGUUAGAAGCACCGGCCUGGGACUGCUGGGGCCUGAUUGUGACAAUAGGUUUGUGCGGAUAUUCAGCUUGAGCUCGCACAUGUGGAGGAGUAAAGCCUGGAAUGUAACAACCCGAUCUUGACCCUAAUCAGACAAAGUGGUUUUGGGACCACAAAUCCAAGUCAAAAAAAAUAUUUUAAAAUUAUUUUUGAUAUUUGCAGUAUGUGAAUUACUAUGUGGAAAAAUUUUGUAUAAAAAUUUGAUCGUUUGAGUGCACAAUUUGAUAAAAAGGGCUUAAUCGCGUAAAAUAAAAAUUUAAGGGUUAAAUUUAAAAGCACCCAAUUGUUGUUGUCUUUUAAAAAUAAGGGUUAUAAAUGGAAAUUAGGCCAUUUAAUAGUUAGUGGGCUGCAAUGGUCUAAAUUACCCUUAAGUUAUAUGUUUUAUAAUUAAUUAAACAAAGGUUAAAGUAGUCAUUAAGUAAUUAAAAUAUAUAUUAGUUAAAAUAACUUAAGAAAAGAUGAUUUUAUCAUCUUCUCCAAGACGAAUGUUAAGCAAAAAGAAGCUCAACUAUGGCUUUCUAAAGUUCGGCCAUAUCCUAGCUUAAUUAAAGGUUCGUUUUUGUUCAGUUUUUAAAAAUUUUUACGUUUUUGAGAUCGUUGCUUUGUGUACUACAAGACCCAUGCUUUAAUUUUAGAAUUUUGUGUUGAUUUUGUUAUAUGCCAUUGAUGAAUGCUUGAGCUUUAUGAUAGUUGAUGAUGAAAUAUGAAAGAUAUGUGAAAGAUUAACGUGUUUUGUCUUUGAAUUUUUGGUGAAAUUGAGUAAUUAGACUAAAUUGUGAAAUUAAAAUUUUGAGGGACUAAAAUAUGAAAUAAAUGAAAUUUGUGGAUUUGUAUGAGCACUAGGGACAUUCGACCCUUGUAUAGUAUGGGCAAAUUUUGUGUAUUUUGUGUUUUAUGUAAUAGGGACUAAAUUGCAAAAAAAUGUAAAUAUUAGGGGUAAAAUGGUAAUUUUCCCAUUUAUGUGUUUUUGGACUAAAUUGAAUGUAAUAAUAUUUAAUUUAUCUCAUUUUGAAUAUAUUUAGAUCAAGAACCAAAGAAAUCGGAGUUAGAUCGAGGAAAAGUUAAAGUCGUCGACUGAUCGUCCGGUUUCGAUUUUACACUGUCCGAGGUAAGUCUAUUAGCUAUUUAAUGUCAUAAAAAUCAGUAUAUAGGUAUGUAUAUGUGAUGUAUUUUGAUGAAUUAUAAUUUAAAAUAUGUUGGUUGAAAAAAUUAAAAGUAUGAGUGAAUUAUAUGCAUUAUUGUUACAUGUUCGAAUCAUAGGUAUAUACUUAUAUGGUCAUUUGAAUUUAGUUAAAGUAUGAAGGUAUAUAAGGAUAUAAAAUUAUAAAUGUUAUCAAAUUUAGUUGGAGUAUAAAAGUUUUAUAUUUUUAUAUGUACAAGUUUCGAAUUUAUACAUGUAUAUACAAGUAUAAAGUAUUGGUUUAAUAAAAGAUAUAUGUGUGUGUGUGUGUGUACUUAAGAUUCGGAAAUAAACAUAGGUUUAUAUUGGUAUAAAACUUUGUAUUGGAUCUAUAAUAUGCAAAUAUACAUGUAUAUGUCCUUGUAUUGAAUUCAGGUAUGCCAUUUAUACAAGUUUAUAUGAGGUUCAAUUACGCAAAUAUGCAUAUAUAUAUAUGUUCUGUAAUGAGUUUAAGUAUGAAAUUUAUAUAUGUAUAAUGGAGGUUCGAUUAUGUAUGUAUAUUCAUGUAAAAAUUCUUGAAUGGAAUUGAAGAUAUGAAAUUAUUAGUUUGGAAUAUCAUAAGGUGUUCGAAUCCAUGAUAUUAGGUAGUAGGCUUUAAUGUGUUAAGUUAUAUAUAUAUGUUCGGAUGUAUAAUUAAGUUAUUGAGCUGAAUUUGAUGUCUGAACUUUAUAUACCUAUGUGGUUUAAAGAUAUAGUUUAUAAAUUAUUGAGUUGAAUUUUUAUGUGGAUAAUAUAUACAAAUAUGAGAUAUAACUUCUGUGAAUUGAGAUUUUAGGCUCAGUGCCUAUCAGGUUUAUUGCCAGUGAAACAAUAUCAGACUUUAUGUCUAGCAGGCUUAAUGCCGGUGAAAUAAUUUCAGACUUUACGUCUAGCAGGCUUAAUGCCGGUGAAACAAUAUCAGACUUUACGUCUAGCAGGCUUAAUGCCGGUGAAACAUUUCAGACUAUAUGUCUAGCAGGCUAAGUGCCGGUGUACUGAAUCAGGCUUUAAGUCUAGUAGACUAAGUGCCAGUGAAUCUGUUUAAAGAAUGUGAUUAAGUGUACAGUUAUAUGAUUUUGGUUAUCUUUAAUUGAUGAGCAUAUAUACCUUCGACUAAGUGUGAUUAAUGAAUAUGUACAUAUUCAGUCUAUGCAUUUGUAAAAAUAUACAUAAAUGCUUUCGAUUUAUGCAGUCGAUAAAUGUAUACAUAUAAAUAUUCGGUAUAUGUAUUUGAUAAGUAUCUACAUAUGCAUUUGAAAUGUAUACACCUCUAUUUAUAAUUAUUUGAUGAAGAUGAAUGCAUUUGGUCACAUGUAUUAGAUUUGUAUUUGGUUAUAAGUUUAUUAUGAGUAUACAUACACAGUUGGAAAUGAUAUGUGUAUAACAUACAUAUAUGCUCGGUUAUAUUCAUUUGGUUGUAAUGUUGUUUGGUAUAAAUAUAUAUAUUCAAUUGAACGCAUUUCGACAGGUACAUAUAUUUGACUAUAAAUAAAAUGGUAUGAGUACAGUAAAUGUAUAAAUAUUAAUUAUAUGUGUUAAUUGCAAUCUCAGUAAAUUAAAUUAAAAAGUUAUAUUAUUUCUAUAUAUAUAUUUCAUUAUGCAAUAGACUUACUAAGCUAUAAAAGCUUACUUUGUUUGUUUAUGUCUUUCUGUUUUAUAUACUUAAAGAUCAAGCUUCAAGCUCGGGGAUCGUCAGCAAGAUCAUCACUCUAUCUACUGUUUAAAUUUUAAUUAUGGCAUGUACAGGCUAGAUAAAUGUUUUGGAAAGUCGUACUUUGAUAUAUUGUAUAUGAAAUUAAUAGUCAUACGAAAAUUAAUGCUUUAACUGGAUUGUAAUUUUAAAGAGAAGUUUAAAAUUUUACAUGUUUAAUAUUAGACCUAGCAAUUUAUAUGUAACCGUUAAAAUUAUUGAACUAUACCGAAUGUCUGUUCUAAGUUCUGUUUUGAUUAGUAAUGCCUCUUAACCCUAAUUCGAUGACCGAUACGGGUUAGGGGUGUUACAUGGAAGAUAGAGUGGUUCAUCCUCAUUACGCUCUUCGACAUCAGCCAUGGGACCAUUUCCCUUCUCACCUCCUCCAGUCAAUAGUUGGGUUAGCUUUGCCAUCAUAUUAUUUUGGGAUUCCAUUAUUUUAUCUAUCAUUUUUUGUUGAAUCUUUUCAAGCUGCUCAUUCAUUUGUUGUUGAAGUUGAUCCUGCAUUUCUUUUUGGAACUGUUCUAGCUUUUGGUCCAUGUCCUUAGUCUUUGAUCGAGUACGUAGCAGUGUUUGGAAAGUUAGUUGGUUUCCAGAUUAACUGAGGAAUGGUUUUAAUCGAUUAGGCUUUUUUAGUGGACUUUAAUGUUUAUGAUGUCAUGCAAUGCGAAUGCAUGCAAUGAAUGCAUAAAGAGAUGUUGAUUCUGAUUCAAUUCCAUUUAGAAAACUUUACUAAAAAACAAAUCUCUUUACAUAAAAUGGAUAUUUAUACGGUCUUGCCCUCAUAGGCGGAGAUAUUCGAUCCUCUUCUUCAUUUGAGCGUUAAGAUAAAUCUCACAAACUCUUCAAAAAAACGUCUCUUCUAUCUCCUUUUUGCUCGAUCCAGGCUGUAACUUGUUGCUCACUCAUCCUCGUGAUGCUCGUUGGCUUCUCUUUAAGAAGGUUCAGUAGCUCUCGAAUAAUCUUUGCCAUCUUGAAUCCUUGGGCAACGGAGCCGUAGUCGUGUAAUCCUCCAUUAAAUUAUCAUCCCUCUCUUAUCAUGUGUUCUUGGACCAUAUUCGGACAACCAUAUUGUCAUCCACUUUAUCAAGAAACUCAUUUUCUUAUGACAAGCUCUCUAUUUAGCAACUGAACGUGAAUCAACACCUCUUUUUUAAGAUGCAAAUGCAAUACAAUCAUAAUAAAAACAACAUAAAAAACAAGUUAGUACAAAGUAAAAGCAAAUGAAUAAAGUACCUACUCGGGUGACCUCUAGGGGUUUGGCAUAGUUCUACCUAGGGCAAGUUCCUAAGGUUCAUUAUAUGAAGUUUGGCUUCUAAAGCAAGGGUACUCGAACUAGCAGAUUCCUCAAUCCUCACCCAUUAUAGGCUCAUAUGGACCGAGUUCAGUUAAGGGGAAUAUAUUUCCCUAUGGCUGCACAGAGAUGAAAAUCUCACGAAGACAUAGGUACGGAUGUAUCCCGGAAGCGGUCCACUACCCUGCACGGAGGUGAAAACCUUACGAAGAACUAGUUUCUCGCUCCCAAUUAAAGGGUAAAAUAUUCAACUCAUGUAAUGUGUAGUGCAAACAAUACUUAAAUACAUUAAGCAAGAAGAUAAUGAAUGCAAAAAAGAUAUCAUGAAUUUUUUUUAAAACAAAUACUUUCUCGACCAUAAAACAAAAAUUAAUCAACUUUAUGGCUCGACUCUCUUAUUUUUUUUAAAAAUGUCCCCAGCGAGUCGCCAAGCUGUCGAAACUAUUUUUUUAUUUAAAAAAAUAAAAAUUUAGUUGUCGACUUUAAAAAAAACAAAAAUUGGGAGUCGCCACUAAUCUUUUAUUAAGGUGUGAUUGGAUUACCUAAAAAAUAGCUUUGGUCUACGAGUUUCAGAAAAACGGAUUCGGGAGUCAGUUACGUACGAGAAAGGAUUAGCACCCUCGUAAUGCCCAAAAAUUGGUACCAAUUUGAUUAAUUAAUGUCUUAAAGUCGAGAGUUUAAAAAAAAUACUAUCCUUAGUUAAAUGAAAUUAUUUAUUAAGACUUUCUCUUUUUGAAAAGAAGAAUAUCACACCCAAUGCGUUAGGGCACAACAUUUUAUUCUCUUCAAGAUGAGUUGGUCCAAAAAACUCGUAUAAUAAAAUUUAAGAAAAUAUUUAAUUGUUUAAAAUUUAUGAAGAAAUCGCAGCCCAAUACGUUAGGCCACGAUUUCUUAAAAUCCCAAACAUUCAAUAUUUCCUUUAUAUUUUUUUUAAAAGAAAAUCUUUAUCUCGAGAAAUCAACGUGUCACAUCCAAUACGUUAGGACACAACACAUUGAAUUCCCGAUGACAAGUUUUAUUUUGUUUGAUUAAAGAACAAUUCUUGAUUGUUAGAUUUAACGAAGAAAAUUGAAACCCAAUACGUUAGGGCUCAAUUUUCUUGAAAAAUCCCAAAUACGAGUAUUAUCUCUAUUUUUGAAAAAAAAAUUUAAAUUCGUGUAAAAGGAUGAUGUAUUGUUAUAUGGGAUGUAUGUAUAAAUACCGCAUUAAUAAAUGACAAAUAUAGAUAUGAUAAUAUAAGCAUAAAUAAUACAAGCAGUAGAAAUAAAAUAAAUGAAAUAACAAAUCAACAUCGUGCAACAUAACAAAUACAAUUAGAUAAAGAUUAAAACAUUCUUUAAAAAUAUAUAUAUACAUAAGUGAUUGAAUAAAGAAAAUGAAUAAAAUUAUAAACAUAAAAAAAUAUACAUGCAUGUUUAAAUCAUGAAAUAGAAAAAUAUAUAUAUGUAUGUGAAAAUUAUGAAAAUAAGAUAAAAAUAUGUACAUAAUAUGUAUAUAUAUUUAAAACAUUUAAAAAAUAUGUGUAUGUAUUAACAUGCAUAUGCGUGUAUAUAUGUAGAUAUAAUAAUAAUAUAUAAUAUAACAAUAAAAAUAAUCAUAAAAAUAAUAAUAACAAUGUUAACAAAAUAAACUAAAGAAACCUAAAAUGAAAGAUUAAGGAUUAAACUGAAAACUAAACGGAGUUAAAAGGCUGGAUUUAAAGAUAGAAAACACUAAAGGGGACUAAAUUAAAACACGCGCAAUAGGGGGAGGACCCAAAGGGGAAUUAAUCCCACCCUCCAAAAAGCUGCGUCUUAAUAAGGACCAAAGUGAAACAAAAAUAAAACGUGUGGUUAAAUUUAAAAGAAAUAAAAGAAAAUGAUUAAACAUACUUCAAAAAACAAAGGACCCAAUAAAUAAAUAGCCCACCAAGGGUCCAAACAGGCAAAUCCAUAGCCAUUAAACGACACUAUUUUUCAAACCCCAAAAAAACUUUUAACAAACAUUUCAUUUCAUUUUCUUCAAAAACAGAGAAGGGAGGGGAGAACUCUCUGCUAGGGUUCUUUUCUUAACCCAAACCCCAGCCACACUACUGCUCUGACGCUGCCCAAAGCACCACCCUUGACGGCAGUUUGAAGGGACCGAACCAAAGGUAAGCACCUCCAUUCUUUCUUUUGUUAUUAUUUUCUACUAUUAGAAGAUAUAAAAACAUGUAAACAAAAUCGAAAAAAAAACUCUAAAAACGACGAAAAUCACCUUUCCAAAAAAAUGUUUUCUGAUUCUUUGUUCUUGUAUUUUUUUUCAAUCCAACAUUCCUUUCCCCCUUUUCCUUUUUUUAUUUGAUUCCCCCCUUUUUAUAUUUUAAGAGAAAAAAUAAAAAAUAAAAAAACUAAAUAAUAAAUAAGUAAAUAAAAUCGAACAUCCACAAAGUAAACUAAAAAAUAAUCACCUCCGUUUUCCAAAAAUUUUGAAUCUGUUUUCUUUUCUUUGUAUUCUCUUUCGUUCAAAAAAAAAUCCUCUGUUACAGUGUUUGAGUCUGCUUUUUAUAGCAGACCAAUGAAAAAAAGAAAAAAAAAGAAAAAAGGUAUGAAAUUUCAAUUGCAUCUUUGCUUGCUGAAUUUCCUUCGAGUUUCUCGUUAUUCUGCCGAUUCUAUCUUGUUGCCUUUCUUGUCGUGCAGGUGAAGGCGGCUCGUGCAAGGUGCUUGGUUGCGGUGCUGAAGACUCCCUUAGAAACCCUAGGGUUUCUUCAUUUGUUUUGGGCCACUUGUAUUUUGGGCUUUGUAUUCUGGGCCAGCUCGUUAAAAUACUGGACUUUUUUAUUUUAUUUUUAUUUAUAAAAGGGCCGGGUAAAAUUUAGGUAUUACAGUACUAAUAAUCCUUACAUACAAAGCAUCCCUAUUGCACUAUAUUCAUCAUUUCAGCAAAGCCAACAGACAGAUCAAAUUCCAUUUAAGUUCUAACAAAGGAAAUCAUUGAAAAUAGCACUUAACAUGGAAUUAAAGAUGAAAUAGUGCAGGGGAAGUCUUUUUCUCACCAGAGGCACCAAGAAUAAUUAUUGAGGUAAUCUUAAUACUUGAAUAGCAUCUGAGCCUAAUCUUGUUUUUAUUUAUUUAUAAAUAUUCUUUCAAUAUUUUUAACCUUAACUUACUACUUAAAACACAAACCCAAAAUUUUGUUGUUUAACUAUAAAAAAAUUUUUAUAUGAAACAAAUGAGGUCAAACUUGAGCUCGGGUAUGUAUAUCAUGUAAACAAACUCAAACAAGCCGAGCUCACAUAAUUUGAUUUUACCUCAAGCUCAAGCUUCUAGAAUCAUAUACUUGAUCAAACUUGAAUUGAGUUUUAAGCAGCUUCAAAUAGAUCUCAAGCUUAUCACUGUUCAAUAUCGGUUCAGCUUGAUUGCAACCCUAGUUUGUGGUUAGUGUUACAUGAAGCAGGCUCAUUAUUCCUGUUAUCUAGUAAUCACCUGUUGAAACUAUUUUCUGUAAAUGGAUUGAUGCUAACUAGUUGGCAUUUUUAAAUCGGGAGGGUAAUGAAUCCUAACAGUGUAUGCUAAACUUGAUUUUUUUCGGAUAAACUUUGCUUUUUUUAUUUAUACAAAGGAAACAACAAAAGCUGCUACAACAAUACAAACAUGCAAUCGGGGAAAACUAACCUUUCAAUCUAACAUGCAAGACAAACAAAACCAUAAAUACCUAUGGAAAACUAACCUGUAAUGAGCAAAUCGGGGACGAGUACGAUGAAGAAGUGUUGGAACAAAGAACCUGUAAUGAGAAAAGGGAAAUCGAUUAAGUGAACAGUGCAAUAAUCGAUGAAGAAGAACCUGCAAUAAUCGAUGAAGAAAAGGAAGAGUGCAAUGAAACGAAACCAUAACCAGCAAAUAAUGAAACCAAACAAAUAAUGAAAAAAAAAUCAUAACCAGCAAGAAACCCUAUGCCGAUUUACCAAGAAACUAACACCAUGAACUGAAACAAUCGCACCAAAAACUAAUCGUAUUUAUAAAAAAAAUUGCAAUAACACCCAUUAAAAAUGCAUGCAGAGAGGAAAGAUGCCAAGAUGGAAGUCGAGACCGGCUGGAGAUUACUCACUUGCCGCUUCAAAGCGUCCGGAGAUCUGAGACCGUGGAGUCGGCGAAAGAUGCCAAGAUGGAAGUCGGGACCGACUGAAGGUUUGG
rnacentral:lncRNA from 1 species